GCUGGAGGGGGCCAUAAAGAGAGCCGGUGGGGGGAGGGGGAACCUCCGCAGACCACCCCACCCCACCCCCACCACCUCCAGGAACUCCCCCAAGGGGGAGUAAGGCCUCAUUCCUCAAACAAAGAGUUCCUGAAACCUGAAAUCAUCCAUGUGCUGAGUGGCAACAACCUCAUAAAAGACUACAAAAAAGAACUCGCAGCCAGUGAGGGUGACUGAGGUUUUCUCCCUGGUGCAAGAGAAGAAAUCUCGCAUGCCCACAACAGCAGGCAGCUUAAUGGCCACGAGGAACCCAUCAGCCUUGGAAAAUGGCAUGGAAUUGUAAACUCCUUGUGUGCAGAAAGAAGGAGCAAGAUAAAAGGAAGGAAGUCACAGUGGUUCAGAGCAAGGAACCUGGCUAUGAAGUGUUUCCCCUGACUUACCACUACACCCCAGCUAUUGCAGUCCUGAAACGUUCUGUCAUCUGUGAAUCUCAGUCCCAGAGGCAAGGGGAUGCUGAUGACCUGGGCACAUGUUGAAGAUGACCUCACUAGAGGCAAAACUGCACUGCAGUUCAAGUCAACCUGACCUACUAAAAGGAUUGUGUGAACCGGCCACAGGUUAAUGGUUGUCUACCUUUUAUUAGUUGACUUGUUUAGCUGAACAGUUCCUAUCAAAAGCCCUCAGCUCAGCGAAUUACAGUCUCCUGCAAACAGCAUGAAAAAUGUGCCACUUCAAAGAUAUCCAAUGCUUGAAAAUUAUUGACUUUUUACUAGCUGCAGAAUGAAGCAAGGGGACUUUUUUCAGACCAUUUCAUUUGUUCCACUUUUAUUUGUUCUGUCCUCUUUGUGCACAUACAUUGUAGCACAAAAUGCACCAGAAGAACUACCUGGAAUGUUAAACUGAACUUUCUUAGUAUAUUGCCAAAAACCUCCCAGUUAGUAUCACUACUGAUGCAUCCUCUUACCAGACAUGCCUCUUCUGGCAAACUUGUGAUAGGCCUCUGAAUGUUUCCUUUUUGUAGCAUAUACUGUAAGUUAGCUGAAUGUACUACUUUUUACACUGGAAUAUGCUGGGUGAAAGGUUUAAGGUUUUGUUCUUGUUUUGUUUUUUGUUAGCAGAAGUUGGGAAGUUCUGUUAGGCUAUUCUCUUGCUGCACUGGCAUUUCCUGGCUAUAAAUGUCAGCCAGUAUGUUGUAUGUGCAUGCAGGUGUCAGAACCCAUCUUUUUGAAGACUGGGACUACAUUAAUCCAUCUCCAGUCUCAUGGCACCUCACCAAUUCUCCAGGAUUGAUCAAAGUCAGAAGUUCUGAGAGUACAUCAAUGAGUUCUUUCAGUAUUCUAAGACGCAAUUAAUCUGGCCCUAAAGUUCUGAACUCAUUGAAAAAAAGAUAGGUAUUUCCUGACAAAUUCUUUAUCAACUGCAAUCCUUACCCCUCACCAUUCAUGCUAUUUUUGUGAGGUUGUACACGGUUUCAAUUUUGAGAGAAGAUGGGGCUAAAUAGUUGAGCAGCUCUGCCUUCUCUUUGUCACCUGUUAAUAUUUCACCAUCCUUACUGAGAAGCAAGCCUAGUUUUUCCUUUCUAUUACACAGAACAUACCUGAAAAGGCCCUUUUUAUUGCUCUUCGCAUCCCUUGCCAGACUCUGCUUGUUCUGAGGUUUCACUUUCCUGACAGUGUCCCAACAAGUUUGGGUUAUUCAUCUGUGCUCAUUCUUGGAGAUCUUCCAUUUCAUAUGUGUGCCAUUUUUAUAUUUUCAGCAGAUCACUUAUAUUUUUGUGAUGCCACACUGGCUUAAAAAAAACAAAAAAAAAACUCUAGGGCCUGGAUUGAUUCCCCUUGAUCCCCAAAGAAAUUAUCAGCACUGGCAGUUCUGAAAGUGUUUUGUGGAGGCUUCCAUUUGUUAAAGGCACAGAUUCUAUAUUCUGCACACUUCCCUGUCUCUCACCAUAGUCCCUCUGUAUGCCAUCCCCGAUAGUCCCUAUGUUUCUUCCUCAAGCCCUCCACCCUCUAUGCUCUUUGUUAACAAAUUGCACAUAUCCAAAGACCCUGAUGUUGCAAAUUUAUUUAAAUUAGAAAAUAAAGCUCCUUUC